rnacentral:rRNA from 1 species
UAACACGUGAGCAAUCUGCCCUUGACUCUGGGAUAACUUCGGGAAACCGGAGCUAAUACCGGAUAUGACACAUGGCCGCAUGGUUUGUGUGUGGAAAGAUUUAUUGGUCAAGGAUGAGCUCGCGGCCUAUCAGCUUGUUGGUGGGGUAAUGGCCCACCAAGGCGACGACGGGUAGCCGGCCUGAGAGGGCGACCGGCCACACUGGGACUGAGACACGGCCCAG